ACACUUAAACUGGGGGAUUGAAGGAAACUUAAUAUUGUAUGAUCCACAAAUGUUAACCCUUGAGGAAAGACAAGUCUGGGCAACAAGGAGCUUUUUGUACUUUUUCACGCAAAAAGUAAAAAAAACUCAUUUUCAUGCAACUUGUUUGUUAACACCGUCUGUUUUCUGUCCUCUUAGCUCAAUAUUCAAAACAUUUCAAGCUAACAAUAUCAAGGGUCCCUUCUUAGUAAUCUCUAUUCAAAUUGCUACAUACGGUUUUAACUAAUUGACAUGCUUUUUUUGCAAAUAAACACCCCCGCCCUUCCGAUCAAGCCGUCGACGAAAUCACGAAAUAUCCGUUUCGGACAAUCGGUAUUCCCUUCGCGCGUGCACAUGUCAGUUGAUAUGAGAAAUAUUCCCCGGAUCUGUUCCCCUUGAUAUGGAUCGCUUUGUUGUUUCAAUUUUCCGGAAGCGAGACCUCUGCAAGAAACCAAGGUGAAGAAAGGAAAUCCUCAAUCAAGAAUCUAGUGCCCGGCGACCAAACCAUUUGUCCGUGCAUAGAUUAUUCCUGUCUCCUGACUAACAUACAGCGAACUCAACUGGAGAAGUUUGUUUUCAGGCAGGCGAAACCACAAGCCUGGAAGUGGUUCCGAAAGUCCUCCGCUCUAAACAGUGAACUACAAUUCUUCGAGGAGGUGUCUUGAAAACCAAAACCUUUUAAACACGGACACAAAGUUAUUGUUGUGGUUAAAUUCCUCAGCCUGAAUAGCUUUAUGAAAAGGCUUUCUAUCUUAAUAGACUUUACAAACAUGACCUCACUUUAACAUUUCUCAGAAUGAAGACACAGCGAUCGAUUUUCUCCGGCAAAUCUUGUAUUCACGAGAGACUCAGCCGGUUUCAAAGGGUCUAACAAUCUUAAAAUAAGGUAAACUUUACGGUUGUUUCGUUAACAUUAGGCAGUUUGUAAUUAGACUAGUUAGGAUUUGGGAUCAGAAACAGGGGCCACGAUUCACAAGGGCCCUUUAGAUUAAGUUGUCUCGUAAGUAUUCUUCGACUACAAAAGCUUAUUCUUACGAAACAAUGCUUAGGAUGUAUUUUAACUUAGAGGAGAGCUUCGUGAAAACUGGCCCCAAAUUUCAUAAGUUUAGUAAUGACACUGAGUGCAUUUGUACUGCAAUACAAUAAAUUGGCCUUUAUGUCUUUCAACUUCUGAGAAAGGCGAAGUGCAUGUUUCUAUACUUUAGCAAACAAGAUCAACGAAAUUAUUUAAAAUUAACUCUCGGUUUUCUACAAUAGCAUUUGAAUGUGUAAUUCAAUCUUAUAAGCACUCAGGUUUCUUGAAUAAAACCCAGGAAUUUCUUGCCUAUUUUUUAUUUUGAAUGAUCGAAGUGAAUACAUUGGGCACUGCGUAUAUUAAGCAUCAUUCUGUUAUUGAAUUUUGUUCGCUAACUGAAUAACUGCGACUACACUCUUACAAGCCUUUAAAUUCUAAAUCAGAGUUAACUUUGUCCAGUCUUGCUAACAAGCCAUGCUGGCUAACCAGAUAAAUAGUUGCAUUUGAGGCACUUUGACAAAUAGCGAAGAUAUGAAAGCAUGCAUGGAUCGAUCUGGUUUGCUUUCAACUUAUGCAGCUAUGUUGUCUUCUUAAAAUUUCAUUUGCUGUUUUAAUUAAAGAUACUGAACUUACAUUAAUUGUAAUUGUUUGCUUCACCUGCUGAAAUUGCUAUGUUAACGAUUAAGACAAUGAGCAAUUUAAGUUCAUAAAUUAAGUAACUUUUGAUUUCAUUUGAAUGUCAGGUUGAUGGAACAAGCGUUUUCAUCACAGGCGACUGCAGAUAGAAACUUAUCAUAAGCGAAAGGAAAGGUGAAUCUGUAGCACUUGAUUAAAUAAAUUAAUAGACUUAAUUUGCCUUACUUACUAGCUAGUCCUGAAUCUUUCAGAGGCAGUUUUGAGGGAAAAGGUAGCUUAAUGCAGAUAUCAUAACUUUUCAGUUCAAUAGUGACCAACAGUGAACAACAGUGAAUAGAAUCAUCUUUUGAAGAGUCCACAUAUAAAUGAAGUCCGGACAAAUUGAUGAGCUCAUUUCUCUAAGUGCAACAUUGAAGGAAACAAAAUCGCCCUACAUGCACUACAGAGGGGCUAGUGAAAUUCACGACUGAGUAAUUGUACAGUAAAAGAAAAAACAAUAAAAACACGAAAUUUAAAUCAAUUUGUGUUUGUUGCUUGUCACAGUUUUUGUUUGCCUGUUUUCUUCAGUGUAGUUUUUAUUAUCCUCCCUCUUUAAGGGUUUUUUAGCAAAGUGCUUCAGGAAAAACACGUGUAGUUAAAUAAAAAAUUAAAAUAUUCUGUUAAAAGCUUUCGUAUAAAUAUUACUGAUAGAGUACAGCCUAGCUAACUAGCGGUAUCAUUUGGUAUGUCUAACUACAACUUCUCCAUUCCAAUUUAAUUUAAAACAAUAAGCCUUAUACAUUAAUGGCUGAUGAACAAUCAUAGAAAAUGACACCAAUGCAAAAAUUCGUAAAUUUACAAAAUAACAGACUAUAGUUUGAUUGCAGAUUAUAAAAAUAAUUCUUAUCAACCCGAUGUUUCAGAAUUAAGGCUGAGGAAUCCUGACAAUAGUUUUAAUACUAAUCGGUUUUUUACCAUUGCCGAAGCUAGUUGUUCAACUGAAGCAUUUCUGUCCGAGCGGCAUGAGUAAAGAAUUCUUCCGGCGCCAAACAUCAAGGGUAAUUUUCGAUGUGUCUGUUAAUCAAUUUAAAUUCUUUCCUAUCUUUGUUCUUUCAUAGUGCCUACUUGAAACUUUAAGCUAAAUCAUACUUCACAUCAAAUUUCUGUGUAUCGUUGAUGAAAAUAUUACAUGGUUAGUGAGAAAGGUUCUCAAAUU